UUGAAUAAACCUGAUGUGGUUGUUAGCUGACUCUCUAGGGAGCUAUGUGCACGCCCAUCAUCUUUAUAUUUCCACCUGUGCACCUUUUGUAGACCCAGAAGGCUUGAGCAAUCGAAUCGUUUGGGCUAUGUCUUAUCAUAUACCCCAUUAGUAUGUAUUAGAAUGUAAUCAAUGGGCUUCGUGCCUAUAAACACUAUA
rnacentral:misc_RNA from 1 species